rnacentral:rRNA from 1 species
UACAGAGGGUGCGAGCGUUGUCCGGAAUCACUGGGCGUAAAGGGCGCGUAGGCGGUCUUGUAAGUCGGGGGUGAAGUGCUGCGGCUCAACCGCAGCGCUGCCUUCGAGACUGCAAGACUGGAGCACGGUAGAGGCGGAUGGAAUUCCCGGUGUAGCGGUGGAAUGCGUAGAGAUCGGGAAGAACACCAAUGGCGAAGGCAGUCCGCUGGGCCGUUGCUGACGCUGAGGCGCGACAGCGUGGGGAGCGAACAGG